GACGAACGCUGGCGGCGUGCCUAAUACAUGCAAGUAGAACGCUGAAGCGAGGAGCUUGCUCUUCUUGGAUGAGUUGCGAACGGGUGAGUAACGCGUAGGUAACCUGCCUUGUAGCGGGGGAUAACUAUUGGAAACGAUAGCUAAUACCGCAUAACAAUGGAUGACACAUGUCUUUUAUUUGAAAGGGGCAAUUGCUCCACUACAAGAUGGACCUGCGUUGUAUUAGCUAGUAGGUGAGGUAAUGGCUCACCUAGGCGACGGUACAUAGCCGACCCGAGAGGGGGAUCGGGCACACUGGGACUGAGACACGGCCCAGAAUUCUACGGGAGGCAGCAGUAGGGGAUCUUCGGCAAUGGGGGCAACCCUGACCGAGCAACGCCGCGGGAGUGAAGAAGGGUUUCGGAUCGUAAAGCUCUGUUGUAAGUCAAGAACGGGUGUGAGAGUGGAAAGUUCACACUGUGACGGUAGCUUACCAGAAAGGGACGGCUAACUACGUG
rnacentral:rRNA from 1 species